CGCAAACAGAAACAUUACAAAAGAUAGAACCUAGAACAAGAGGUACUAUUCCACUUGCAGUCAUAGGAUAAAACGAGAGCAAGACAAGUUAAGAGCCAGAAAUGAGGAAAGAAUUCAUGAUCAGGUUUCCCUGUAAGUAAAUCUUCAAUGGACAUUACAUAUCAAGACAGAAUCUUAAGCAACUGCAGGCUAUGAGGUCAUCUUUCUAAGCAGCCAAAAGGUAGGAUGUUAAUUGGCCAAGCACCACUUCUGGACCUUAGCCUCACCUAAGCCCUUCCACAAACGAUAACAAUUAAAAACAAAAGCACUUCCACACAAACCACAUACUCAUGCUGAAAACGUAAAUAAUUGGAAACCAGUAUCACAAUUUUCACAAUUCAUCCAUACUAUAUAUAAGCAUUUCACCCGGUGAUAAGUGUAAACAAGCCUGAAUAGAAGAAGUCAAUGGCUGAUGGCCAUGAUAUCUCCCAUUCAGUUGGCACGGCUUUUAAACACGUCAAGUCCCAUUUCAGUUGGAUCAGUCGCUUGCAAUUCGAUCUGAAUCCCGUCAAGUUCUCUCUUGAAUCUGUCCUUUGAACUGGCGUAGAUCAUCUUGCUUCUCACCCUUGCUGUGUCCGGAGACCUUGAGCAAAACACACAGAAUAUGAGAACAAGCAAAUUCAUCCCCAGCACAGGACAAUAUGCUGACAAGGGCCGUAAUUACCAUGCAAUGAAGAAUAUUCUGCUCUUCUGGCAGUUCUCCUUGGUGACGAAGUCAAAAUCAAAUACAGCAUAGCGGCACUCAUCAGCAGGGAGGCAAGCAGCGAAAUCAUCAUAGCUUUCACCUGGCUCACCAAGUUUCUCCACAAUGACUUGCUUUUGCUUCUCCUCGAUCUUGAAAACUACGAAGCGGUAGGUUCUUUUUGCCUUUAGCUCCAGGAAUUUCAGUUUGCAGUCAUCAUCGACUGCAAAUCCAGACGCUGCGUUCGCCUAACGGAAACAUAAACACAGUCAUAAGCAAUGCUUAUUUUUUCUUACUACAUAUAUACUGGAUCUGGAAGUCCAAACAUGAUAGAGGAAAAUGUAUAGGUCAUAUCAAUAAAGAAUAGGAAUCGCGCUCAAAGUUUCUCAAGGAUCUCUGCAAUGAUGGAUCACCUGCUACUUCGGUUUGUGAAUUAAGAACAUCUAUUCAAAGAUUCAAAAUCAUUCCUAGUUCAUGUCAUCAUUAAUAAAAGCAGUGUAUGCAAACUAAAAGAAAUCUUUAUCAAAGCAAAUUAUGCGAAAUGCAAAACCAACACUGGACUCAGUCAGCGAUCUAGCUAACAAAAGGACAGGAAAGCCAUCUGGAAUCAUAGAUCACAUCAACCAUAGCUAACACAAUCGGAAAGCAUACAACCAGAUACAGAGAAGAUAAAUCAAGUUCUAUAGACGAUCAGCAAAAACCUCCCUCCACUGCUCCACAUAAUCGAAACAUCGAAUCUGACAACGAAGAAGAUCACAUCGGAUCUGCUGCACAGUACAUAAACACGGGGAGAACAACUGCAGGACGAGAACCAUACGCUAACGGUGGAUAUACACAGAGAAUUCGAGUUCAUGACGACGAGAUCGGAGCACAGAUCGGGCAAUAAUUGUUACCUAACAGAAGCAACUAAUCCCAGUAUCCCAGACGUAUGAUAAACCAGAAGAAAACGGAUAAGUAAAGCAUAAGGAACCCUAGGAAAUAGCAGAGCUGAAAUAUGAGAAGAGAAAACGUUGUUCAGCUGAAAAAAUCUCACCAUUUGGUCCGAGUUUUCUCAGUGGAGCUCAACAGCGGAAGAAAAGGAGGAGAUCGGAUAUAUCGGGAGAGGAGAGAAUUAGAUAGAGAGAGAGAGAGGCUCCUCCGAUAGCAAAGGGUGUGCUGGAGGAGAGCGGGCUGGCUUCUAUUAAUUAGGUGGGCUUUCAGUCGUAGUCGACAUGCCUCCGGGCCCAGCCAUUCUUCAUAUUGUAAGGGAAUUGGCCAUAAAUGGAAAAUGCAUUCUUUUUUAAUCAGAAAAUGAUAGUAAUUUGGUACAGUGUUCACUAUAAUUAUUAAUGUUUUUUAUUACAAAUCUCAAGCUAUCUGUUCAAUGAUCCACGAAAAUUAAUCAUUUUGUAAAUAUGAAAGGAGUCUAUGUUCCAUUUGAGUUAAGUAUGUAUGACAUGAGGGGUUGUGGUAAAGCUCGUGUAAGAGUCCUAUGAUUGAUCGUUUAGCGUUGAUCGUUUAUGAGUUGAUUGUUUAGUUUAAAUGAUCAUGGAUGGUGCUUAGAAGACACCAAAGCGAUCGAAGCUUAGAAGUCUGACAAUUCUAGUCCAGCGUAGGUAGGUCAUUGCUCAAGCAGAUACAUGGGAAUAUCUCAACGGGCCGUCUCAACUCGAUUAUCACGAUCAACGUGAUUAUAUUAACCGCUAAAAUAAAGGUCCACUGUACAACACCAAACUAUAAAUAUUGUCACGCUCUCACUAUAAAAGGUGAAAUGCCAUAAUUGCAGAGAAAAUAUUCAUUGAAUUUGUAUUUUUGUUCAUUACAUUUUUCUCUCUCGAAAACCCAAACUCACUAUCCUAUCAAAACUUUUAUCUUAUUUGUGAAAAAAAUCCAUGUAAAUAUUGAACCAAACAAUACAAUUCAAGUGGAAUAAUCACAUACUCGAAAUCUCUAUUAUCCCCUCACAUGACAGGGUUGAUCACAUAGCUAAAACAUAUAUAUUAUUUAUAAGGAAAAAAAGAACUUUAUAUAUAAUGAUUAUUCAUUGUUGGUGAAGCACAAGGAAUUCCUUGGUACAGAAUCAUGUCUAGUGGGUCCAUAGAGACUAUCCCUCCAUCAUGGACCAUUCCUUUGCAGCGUUGAUACAACGCCAACAUUCUUUUUAUCGUUUCUCUUAUCAAUGUAAAGCGUUUGAUACAUUUUGGUACUAGAAAAUAUUCUUUGUUUUUUUUUUUAUAUAAAUGGGUAAUAGAAAAUAUUGAGCCACGACUCCAAGUUGCCGAAUCUAUACCAACAGUGAUGAAAGUGAUUAUCCAAACGGGAAGAAUUGAGAUAGCAACAAUAAACAAAAAUUACGUAUAUUUCCAUGUCGAAAGCUUCACAUCCUCAAUAUGAUUUGAACAAUGUAAAGAGUUUUUUUUUGUCACUAAAUAAACAGCUAAAUUGACAUUUUGUCUAACAUAUUUACCUCCAUAUCCUCUUUGCGUAGUCUUCGUAGCCUUUAUUAAUCUUUGUAUGCUUACGUAAAUGGUGGGAGCAAUCGAUUAAGAGGUGUUCACAUCCACAACGAGAGUGGCGGUGAUGGCUUGAAAGAAAUCUAAAAUAUCUGAACCUAUUUGGAUAUUGCCAUUAGCGGCGUAACUGUGUCAAAGAGAACUUGUCAUUUCCCGACAUUAGAUAUAAUUUGUGUGUAUAAUAAUGAUCGGAGAGGGUUGUUUACGGCCUAAGAGAGUGUCUGGUGCACGUCGUCCAGAAGGAAGUUAGCCGACCGUACGCGGUCUUUGAAGCUCCUUCCUCCUAAUCUCGAACUUAAAAGCUUCAAUUAGCAGACUGCCGGUUCCUCACCAGCAAGAAACAAUUCAUUGAAUCAGCCAUUAGAUAUAGAGUGAGAUAUCAGCAAUAAAACAAUCAAGCUGAGUCAGAAAUGAUAAAAAGAAUUCAUGAGAGACAACCAUAAGGUUUCCCCGAAAAGUAAAUCUUUAAUAUGACCAGUACAUAGCAAAUCCAGGAUCUUAGCAAAAUGCCGACCAAGACUCUACGAGGCAUCUUUCUAAGCAGCCGAAAGUAGAAUGUUAAUUAGCCAAGCACCACUUCUGAACCUUCAACUCUGUACUAAAGCCUCCACAGACCGACAACAAUGACGACACUCCACACAAACGUUUUCCACGGAUCACAAUCCAUCCGUAAACCACAUACUCAUGCUUAAAACGUAAAAAGAACUUGGAAACCAGUAUCACAAUACUAUAUAGCAUUUCACCCAGUAUUAGUGUAGACAAGCCUGAACAGAAGAAGUCAAUGGACCCAAGAUUGGCCUAUAUUCCAUGUUCAG
rnacentral:lncRNA from 1 species